AGCUGGAAAGGAUUUGAUGAUUCAGCAAUAUUUUCAUUGCUUGAUAUUGGAAUGUGCAAUAUAAUUAAAGGCAGUUCUGGAUUUCGAUUGUUGUUACUAAAUUUAUUUCAUUAUUAAAUGCAACUUAAUGUUUUAUUGUAGGUCCUUGAUGAGUCGUUGUAUCACACUGCAGGAGGUGCCUGCAUAGGUUUUACAUUACUGUAGCCUAAGGAAUAGAAUAUAUAAUUAUGAAUGACAGCACUGUGCAUGUUUAUGUACGUAAUCAGUAUGUCCAUAAUAAUGAUUAUUAGAAAUAUUGAAAGAAACUAAAGGGAAUAAGCAUUUAUGUCUUGUCAAACACUUGGCAUUACUAAUGUAUUUUCUUCCUGGCUUAACGCUGAUGUAUUUUUAAUUCACAGUUUGAUUAUUUUUUAACAUCUAUUAU